GUCAGCAACUUUCCACUCCAAGAAGUGGAAGAGUGAUGACUUCUUCCAUCUUCUUCCCUGAGUACUUUCAGGGCUUUCCAGGUGCAACGGCAAGAA
rnacentral:lncRNA from 1 species